rnacentral:rRNA from 1 species
ACGGAAGGCAGCAGUAGGGAAUCUUCGGCAAUGGGGGCAACCCUGACCGAGCAACGCCGCGUGAGUGAAGAAGGUUUUCGGAUCGUAAAGCUCUGUUGUAAGAGAAGAACGUGUGUGGGAGUGGAAAGUUCACACAGUGACGGUAACUUACCAGAAAGGGACGGCUAACUACGUGCCAGCAGCCGCGGUAAUACGUAGGUCCCGAGCGUUGUCCGGAUUUAUUGGGCGUAAAGCGAGCGCAGGCGGUUUAAUGAGUCUGAAGUUAAAGGCAGUGGCUUAACCAUUGUUCGCUUUGGAAACUGUUAGACUUGAGUGCAGAAGGGGAGAGUGGAAUUCCAUGUGUAGCGGUGAAAUGCGUAGAUAUAUGGAGGAACACCGGUGGCGAAAGCUGCUCUCUGGUCUGUAACUGACGCUGAGGCUCGAAAGCGUGGUGAGCAAACAGGAUUAGAUACCCUGGUA